ensembl:lncRNA
AAGGAACUAACAGAUUUCCUUCCCAUUCUCUGGAAUUUUCUGGAGGGUGGUGUCUCUGUGCAUCCUGGAGGGGUUCUCUGUGGCUCAGUCUCUGGGUUUCAGUUGGAGGCUCGAUGGCCAGUUUAUAAAUACCCCAGUUUUCAUGUGUUACCAUUUGACCCACUUUACUUCUGUUUUUCCAGUCUGUUGCAUAAUACUUCAGCUUUGACUUGAGAUUUGUAUUCUUGGGGGCUGUAAUAGUAGCUAAGCCUGAUGAUCUGGGUUUGAUCCCUGAACCUAGAAGGAGAGAGCCAACUCCCACAGGUUGUCCUCUGAUCUCCACAUGUGCACUUUAGGACCUGUAAUCCCCUGGCGCGUGCAUAAUAAAUAUCGAAAAAUGUUUUCUAGUUAAAACAUAAUAAUUAGUAGACCACCUUUUUUCCUUUGCGUUUUAUCUGCUCUCCCACUCUCUUUCCAUCUCCAAAUUAUACAUGUUUUUACAGGUCCUGCUCAGCAGAUAAUUUUCCACUGUAGCUCCUGGGUUAUUUUUUUCACUCAGUUCUCACAGAAACCCCCCCCCCCCAGUAAUGCUUACUAUUUUCACCCAUGUAAUUGUCACCUCUUUACAAGACAAACUGUGCCCAGCACAGUGCUACAGAAAAAACUUCAUCCUUUCUCCUGGUUCAUUUAAGGACAUUCUGUCCAGUUUUUAUUCCAUACUCCUAGCUGUUAUCACAGGCAGAUUCCAUAGCUUUAUAGUUGUGCUUAGCAGUUGAAAAAAGCCCUUCAGAGGUCAGGAGUAGACACUGUGAAGUACUUGCCGAGCAAGCACGAAGACCUGUGUUUGGACACCCAGCACCCAUGUAAAAAGCUGGGUGCUGUGGCUUGUGUUUAUGACCCCAAUGCUCUGGUAGGGGCUAGGAAGGAGACUCUCUAGAGCUCAUUGACCAUUCAGCCCAGCUGAAUCAGUAGCCUCAGGGUGAGUGUGAGAGACUCCCCCACCACCUCUCAAACAAGAACAAUGGAAGAAGGUACCAGUGACUGCCUCCAUAUUCACAAAUACCCAAAUACACCUACAUGAACAUGUAUGUUCACCUGCACCCCUAUACACAAACGAAAUAAAAAAAAUCAAAACUCUUCUAAAUAAAUGAUGCAUUUAUUUAGGAGAAAUAAGUAACUAAGAAAGUCAAAUCUCAACACCCUACUUCAAACUCUUAUACAGUUUAAUCUUCUCUUCCACCCAGGUUGGCCUGAUUCAGGUGUAAAAGUCUUUUUUAGUGAAAGUCCAAUAAUUGACUUUCCUCUACUUUGCUAUCUGUUCUCCCUCAUUCACAAAUCUGGUUUGAUUUCGAACAGAAGAGAAAAAGGGAGGGCAAGCUGCACUUGAUUGAUGCCUUCAGGGUCUUCUCUGUGGUAGUUGCACAGCUGGGUCUGUGGCUUCCUUGUAAGACCCCUUUCUGAUUCCUGGAGAUAGUCUAUAAUGCUCACUGCCUCUCCCAGUUAUCCAAGCACAACCCACUUUAACAUUUCUAAAAACUUCUCUGUAGUAAAAAAAACAAAAAAAACUAUAGAAGCUUAGUUUCUGGGAGUCCAUACAUCUCUUACAAUCAUCUCAUCCAACCUUUUGUUUGUUCAUUUGUGAUGGGGUAAGUCCUUCUGUGUUUAUGUUUGUCUUGUUGGUUGAUAAAUAAAGCACUGUUGGCCAAUAGGAAAGCAAGAUAGAUGGGGCUAGGAAUCAAGGAGGAUUCUGGGAAAUGUAGUAAAGACAGAGUCAUCAUGUGAUCCUGGCAAGAGAGGACGCAGUGUUGGCAUCCUCAAUAAGAUAAGUCUUUAUAAAAUAUAUAGAUUAGUAGUUAUGGUUCAUAAUUAAGACUGAGCUAGCAAAUAAGAAAUCCUAGUCAUUGGCCAGCAGCAUUGUAAUUAAUGUAAGACUCUAUAUGUUAUUUCGGGCCCCUAGCCUGGCAGUGUGGCGGCAGGACUCAGGAGGCUGGUGGAAGAGUUAUCGUUACACAUUUGUUUGUUUUGUUGUUUUGUUUUGCUUUUGAGACCGAGUUUCUCUGAGUAACAGCCUUAACUGCCCUGGAACUAGCUCUGUAGACCAGUCUGGCCAUGAAUUCACAGACAUCUGACUGCCUCUGCCUCCUAAGUGCUGAGACUAAAGGAGAGUGCCACCACUGCCUGGCCCCAAACCUUUUUUUUUUUUUGUGGCAUCCCUUUCAAGAAAACAGUCAUCAUUGUAGGACAGUGGUAGAAACUAAAAAUAGACUGCAAUAAUCUGACCACAGAGGGGUGUGUGUGUGUGUGUGUGUGUGUGUGUGUGUGUAGUCUUUUUUCAAACAUAUUGUCUUGGUAUUUAAUAAACACUAAAACUUCCAGCAGGGUAAUGUUGCUGCACAUCUUUAAUACAGCACUUGGGUGUUAGGGGAUAUUUGUUCUGUUUGCACUGAUACUCUGAGACUGCCAAUUGAGUUUACCUUUUAUCUCAGGUGGAGUCAUCUAAUGGCUCACUGGAAUUAACAAUAGAGGUUUUGGAGGACCCAGGAUACAGAUAGAGAGACACAGGAAAUAGUAGGGAGAGUCUUAGAAAGAUUAUUAGGCUUUUUGGAUUAGGGGAGGAGAGGAGGUAAGUGGUUGUUUCUCUGAUCAAUUGGGUUUUUACCCUGAUAUUUGAUCCCCAAGUUUUUAUUGAUAUUAAAAUAACUUAGAUAAGUGCAGCACUUAUCUAAGGAGGCAGAGGCAGGCAGAUCUCUUUGAGUUCAAGGACAGCUUGUUCUACAGAUUUAGUUCUAGGAUAGGCUCCAAAGCUACACAGAGAAACUCUGUCUCAAAAAAACAAAACAAGAAACUUCCAUAGAACUCAAGGGGUAGCAUAGAACUCUGUUUUGGAAAGAUUUCCCCUCUCUUGUACUACUUUAUCACCAAAAUAUUCCUUGGGACCUUUACAUAUAAUCUUGUCAUGACAUAUUUGUCCUUAUUAGACAUUGUGACAUACUCCUGUAAUCCCAGGACUUGAGAAGAGGAGGCAGGAGCGUCGAACAUCAGAAGUUUGAGGUCAUCCUUGGCUAUACAGUUAGUGUGAAGCCUACAUCCUGUUUUAUGUGUAGUUAAAGCUCCUCACCAUCACAGUUUCAAGUAUUGACUCUAACCAUCAUCUCCAUCUUUCACUGUGGACCAUCCAAGUUAAACCACUGGGCAGAAACCAACUUGAAAGCAUCAGCAAUUCUCUCAGUCCUACUGAGAUGCAUUGUGGGGUAUUGUUUUAACUGAGCAAGGAUGUGUUACAUUUAUUUAUGCUGUAGAAUAUUACUUUAACUGUGUAAAGGUGUGUUACUUUUUCAUGCUGCAUUUGUUUAAGGAUGUGUCUUUAAUUAUGUAAAAAUGUGUUGCAUCUGUUUCACCUCAUCUGCCUAAGGCACUUGAUUGGUCUAAUAAAGAGCUUAAUGGCCAAUUGCUAGGCAGAGAAAGGACAGGAGGGGCUGGCAGGAAGAGAGAAUAAAUAGGAGGAGAAAUCUUGGCUCGAGAAGAAUGAGAGAUGAAGGGGGAAGAAAGCAAGGGACACACUCAGGGCUUGAAGCCAGGGAGAGACCAGACAAACAGACAGACAUAGACAGAGAAGCAGUGAAAAUAAGAUAUACAGAAGAAAGGUAAUAAGCCCUGAGGCAAAAGGUAGAUAAAGAAAAACAGGUUAAUUUAAGUUAAAAGAGCUAGCCAGAAACAUGCCUAACCUAGGCCAAUAAUUCAAAAUUAAUAAUAAGUCUCUGUGUCAUGAUUUGGGAGCUGGUUGGUAGCCAAAAAGAAAAAGCCUGGUACAAAGAUGUCUUACUUGUCUUCCAUUUGGUUUAUGAUGACUCUACAUUUUCCUUAGGUAAUUUAAACUCUAUAGCCAAUGGCAAGAAUUUUCUGACUACCACAGGAACCCCUUUCCUUUUCUCUGGCUUUGUCAUACUCUAUGGCAAAAUUAGUUAAAUUCUGUUCUCAUUAUACUACCAGAACUAAAUGUAGCUGGGAGCACACAACUGUAUUGCUACUUUUCACUUUAUUUAGGAUCACUAGUCUCCAGUGGGCCCUUAGUUCAUACCACAUUGCCUAACGUUUUCACACUACCACUGUUAGAAUUCAUUCCUUCACACUUUCAGUCUCUUGAAGUCCCUGACUCCUCCUCUGACUUCUCUGACUCUUGGCUGUGGUUGCUGGAUGGACUGAGAACACUCUCACGUUUGAGAAGGACACAGACAAUGGGAUAUGAGUUAGAGAUGUAGCUGAAGUCAAAGACAGGCUGUGAAUACGUGAUGUGGGUGCCUGAGAUGCCAGAGAUGGGGUGCCUUUGUUGUAAUUAUGUUAAGCAUGGUGCUGUUACAAACAGAUACAUUUUUAAUCAAUACAUUUUAGUGCUUGCUUUUUUCCUUCUAAAGAAAAAUUCAGUUUCUUGUCUAGUUAGGAUAUGAUUUUUAGUAUCCUAUUUACUGCCUUUGAUUACAUUAAUUUUUCUUUUUUUAAAAAACAACCUGUUUUUAUUUUACAUAUCAAUCCCAGUUCCUCCUCCUUCCCCUCCUCCUGCUCUCCCCACCUUUCUCCCACCAUACCCCCAUCUACUUCUCAGAGAGGGUGAGGCCUCUCAUGGGAAGCCAACAAAGUCUGUCACAUCACAUUGAGGACCAAAGCCCUCCCUCCUGUAUCUGGGCUGAGCAAGUUAUCCCUCCACAGAGAAUGGGCUCCAAAAAGCCAGUUCAUGCACUAGGGAUAAAUCCUGCUCGCACUGCCAGUGGUUCCAUAAACUGCCCAAGCCACACAACUGACACCCACAUUCAGAUGGCCUAGUUUGGUCCUAUGCAGGUUCCCUAGCUGUCAGUCUGGUGUCAGUGAGCUCCCACUAGUUCAGAUAAGCUUUUUCCCUAUUGCUUAUAUUAUCAAUCCUCUCUGUCUUCGACUGGACUCCAGAAGCUCAUCCCAGUGCUUAGCUGUGGAUCUCUGCAUCUGCUUCCAUCAGUUACUGGAUGAAGGUUCUAUGAUGACAAUUCAGGGGAAGGCCAUUUCAGGAACCCUCUCAACUACUUACUGGUAAAAAACAAUAACAUCUUGAAAUAUGCAGGCAGAUAUAUGAAACUAGAAAAAAUCCUGAGUGAGAUAACCCAAACCUAGAAAGACAAACAUGGUAUGUACUCACUCAUAAAUAGAUAUUAGACACAGAGCAAAGGAUAACCAGCCUACAAUCCACAACCUCAGAGAAACUAGGAAACAAGUAGGACCCUAAGAGAGACAUCCAUGGAUCCCCCUGGGAGGGGAACUAGACAAGAUCUCCUGAGUAAAUUGGGAGUGUGUGUGUGUGUGGGGGGGAAUUGGAA